UCUCAGUUGGCCUUGGCCUCACGGGCCAUCCCCAUCUCGCGACUCUCUCUGUCUCGUGCUCUCUACGCUGCUGCCGCCCCUUGCUGGUCGCCACGGCGCCCAUUCGCCGGCGACCCCCAAGGCCUCGCCCUCCAUCCACACACCCCUACAACCUUCGUAGUCGCGGUAGGAUCGCCGUUCCUAUCAACCUCCUCCCCGCCUCCUUGGUUCCGUGGGGACCCCUCUCCUCCGCCCUGCUGCCGUGGGGGCGCCCUCUGUCAGCCCCCUCCUCGCUGCCUCCCUGGUGCCGUGGGGGAGCCUCCCCCUCGCCUUCCCCUCCGGCGCCUCCCCUAAUUCUUCUCCCCAUCCGGCGUGUCACGGCGAGGCGGAAGACGUCGAGGGCAAACUUGGAAGGGCAACGGCGGCCACGCACGGGCGAACGAGACGAGCAUCACACCCGCCAGCACAAACAGGCGGCGGCGACGAGACAGAGGCAGUCAAGGCGGCUGAUUCCGGUGAUAGCAGCUGAUGGGCAUGGAUGAUGGAGGAGUGGAUAUAGAGGGAGGGUAUGUUUGUUCUGUCAUGAAUGUGUUUGUUCUUUAGUGAGCAAUCUGAACAGUUAAAGUUCAAAGGGUUCUACUAUUUCUUGAGUUUCCCUCUCACCAAGGGUUAGCAAUCCCACACCACUCUUAACUGUUGGUUCAGCCACUGAGUUAGAUCAAUUCCAUUGUAAUUAAUCUUGUCCUUAGCUUCAUUUUUUCUAUCAUGUUGCAUUUGCAUCACAAGCUCAAGUCCCAUUUUGUUUUGUUCCUAUAGUUUCCAAAAUCAAUCCUCUGACAACCAUUGUUUCGGAUCCUAUUGAUUUUCCCAAAAACAAAGUCUGAUGUUCAAGUUAGAAAAAUCUAAAUUCUUACUCAUAUUGGUUCAACCCAUAAGGAAAUCUAAUUUGAUUGUCUUAUCUGAGGUGUUAGCAUAUCUUUUGAGUUUAACCAAAGAAGUUUUGUUUGUAAACUUCAAGUCAACAUUGUAUACAGAUAUUGAGUUUUAUAUGCUAUAUAAAAUUGUUGCUCUUAUGAACAAUAAUGGAUUCCUUCCUUUAUUUCUGUAAUGGUAAUGAGAUCAGAAAAAAUUCAGUUCAUGCAUAUUGCUUGGCUGAAGGUAGGUGAGAAAAGCAGCGAUUGCAUCCCCAUUUUCUAAAACCAGCGAUGUGCAAAAAUGUUGCCACCGAAUUAUAUAUAAGGUCCAAACAUGCACUUUUGUUAAGCUGAUAUUUUUCUUGCCAAACUGAUUGCUCUUUCAAUUAUGUAGGUUAAGUACCACGGAAAGGCUGGAUUGGCUCUUGGUUCUUGAAUUUCGUGAGAAAGAGCUAACAUAGGAUUUAGAUGUGUAGAUAUUUUGAAAUGGAGGAAAGAGUUUUAGUGCUAGAGGCCAUGAGGGAUGGCAUUGUUCAUCUACUUUGUUCUUUUGGAUGCAAUUCACGAUGAUUGAUGAAGAGCAAGACGCCAGACAGCUCUAGGCCAAGCCCUGCUACCACAAUACAGCAAAGUGCUUCAUGGAACCUCUAGGACUUAAAGAAAAAGGGGGAGGACUGCAAGCAAGGGGAACAAAAUUGAACAUGACCGCGAGGAGGUAUGCUAUGCAUGCAUACUGCUGUUUGUUUAGGACAAUUUCCCAUGUUUAGAUGCGUCUGUUUUUUUAUUUUGCCUGCAACCACAUAUGGGGUGUCCUGUAGGCUGUAUCCACAGCCCAUGAUUUGGGGAUUUCUUCAGUUCUAUUUUGUUACAUAGUGUUGUUGAUUUUGUCUACAAAGCAAUCAAAAUGAAGAAAAGAUGGAGCCAAUUGAGUAUUCCAUUUUAUUGGGUAUUUUGUAACAAACUAAUUGUAAUAAAAUAUAUUUUUAUUACUAUAAAUUUUUUUUGCUAGGUUUCUUAAAAACAUAUGCAUGAGGAAUGUCCAUCUCCAUUAGAAUUUGUAGUUAUGCAUACAACAUUGGUUAAAUUAAAAAUACAUGUUUACUUGAUUUUCUUUAUGAAUGUAAAAUUCUUGUUUUCAACACUUCUUGAAAGCUCGAUGUCAAUAAAAAAGAUUGUGGUAUUGAAUAUGUUGGUGCUGCACAUGCCUGUCCCUGGAUAUAAAAUUUUUAUUUGCCAUAAAUAUUUUGAACACUUGCAUGUAGCAUGUGCACUCUACUAUGCUCUAUAUGAAAGAACUGCGAAAAGUGUUGUAUGAUAACUUUUUCUAUGCAUUUUUAUUUAUGCUAUAUAAAUGCUUUUGUAGCUUGUUAAAUGCAUAUAUGGAGUUAGGAGCAUGCUAAAAGGAUAAAACCAGCUGGGUUAGCUUUGUUUUGACAUGUAGUACUUGGAGAAAAUAUUAAGCCUGCUGUUUGGUUAAUAUUUUUUUGAUGUAUUGAUUUGGUUAAUGCUUGUUUAAGCUUGUUUAUUUAAUAUCUUCACUUGGCCAAGGGAGUGGGAGGUCACAACAAACUCUGAACUUAAUGGGUCAGCCAUGUUUUCUCUGUACAUUUUAUUUUCUCUCUCAACGAUGUGUUGGUUGAUGAGCAUAUGGAAGAAAAGACAUUGUCCAGCUUAUGGCCCUUUAUUUAUUAGCUUUGAUUUGCUCACUGGUUGUUCUAUUCUGCCAGAUCGUUGUCCACUCUACAGCAAAAUUCAACCCUGAUGACAGCUUCCGCUUGGAGCCGAACUUUGCCUCUGCACCUUUCUUAGAGAACAAAGGGUGAGAACUCACGAGUUAGGAAAGGGAUUCUAGAUAUUUAGGGGAAAAAACGCUGAUAACUUAGGAAUUAAGAUUAAGAAGGAGAAAUCACUGCAGUCAGGUGUUGGGUUGAUCUCCACCAGUUGGUCCAACGGCCAACUAGGCCUUUAACUCGCGCUCUGAUCGGGAGCGCCCAGCCCAAUGCAAAGCUGGUGGCCCCCCGUCGUGCAGUGCCUAAAUAGGAGGUGGGGUGCUGGUGGCUAGGGUUAUGAGAUUCACUGCCGCCACUAUUCCCACUGUCCUAACCCUAAUCCGAUCUAAAGAGUGAGCUAUUAGCGACGGGAAGCUCCACUACGCCGUCGCCAUCAGGCCAUCGCCGUCCCUGCACUGCGACAACACCGCUACCACGACGUCUCUGCGCUGCGCGUCGCUACCCCAGUGCAGAACUUCACCGACAAACCCACGGUGUCCUGCAACUUCUACAUCCUGGUAAAAGAAAGUAACCACUCGAUCUACUCCUAGGCGAUCCAAUAGUUCUAACAAUGGUAUCAGUUAGCCGAUCUAGCGAAGUAGAUCGAUUUGGGAAUGGAUCCAAACUCAGAUCGAAAGAAUCACAGAAAGGAAAGAAAGACAUUUCUAUUUUGAAUCUAAUCGAAAGAACAAAGACCCUAACCCUAGGGGAUCAAGGCCGGCGGGACUCACCUUCACCGCCGGCCGGAGCUGCGUGGGAAGACCCACGAGCUGCCGCCUCACCGGUGCUCCAUCGCUGCGCGCCGGCUAGAGGAAGACCCGAGCCGCUAGAGGAAGGACCCUCUCGACGCGUGCGCUCGGGGCCCAGGGCGCCGUCCCGGAGCCGCUCGACGGCGGCGCGCUCCCCACGGCGAGCGCGCACGUCGGCGAGGGGGCCUGCAGCGGCGCCAUCUCCUCUGGCCGCCGCUCAGUGUGCUCAGGGAGAGAUUGAGAAAGGGGCUCGUGGAUCUCGGGCCGUGUGCGCCGGCGAGGGGGGGGGGGGCAGGCGGCGGCGGCGCCACCUCCUCCGGGCGCCCUAGGCGGCCACCGCUCCAAGAGUCGAGCCUCGUCGGGGGGAGAAAAGAAGGGACCGGCGAGGGGGCGUGCAGCGGCGGCGCCGCCACCUCCUUCUAGCCAAGGGCCGCCGCCGCUCGGUGCACAGAAAGAAGGGGCCGGCGGCGGCGCCGUCCUUCCUCCGGCCAGCCCCCGCGGCCGCCGCCUCCAUGAGAGAGAGAAGGGGGGAGCAAAUGGAACCUAGGGUUUCAGGGGGAGGACUGGCGACGGGUUUUGAUCCCGCGAGGAAGGCGGACAGCCGUCCGAUUGCGCUGGACGACCAGGAUUGAGACAAGGGGAGCCGAGCUGGGCCGCCGGCCCAGGCGGGAGCUGAAGCGGGCCAAGCCACUGUUUGCUGGGCCGCGCGUGCGAUGCGCCGUGAGCUGGGCCGCCGGCCCAGGCGGUUGCUGCUGGCUGCUGGGCCGCGUGGAGGCAAGAGAGAAGAGCAAGCCCAGGAGAGCUGGCGGGGCAGGGCCAAGCGGCUCAGCUACAGGCUGCUGGCUGUUUUUGCCUGCUGGGCGAAAGAGCACAGUAACAGUAUUGAAUUUUUUUUUCAGAGACAUUUUCCUUGAAUAUUGAUCAGGUUUUCAUCUCUAUUCAAUUCGAACCAACGGGAGAAUUAUUUAGAGAAUACAUGAGUAAGAAUAUAGAAUUUUUAUGUUUCCGCUGCAAAGUAAAAAGUCUCAUCCUCUAUUUAAAUUGGAACCAACGAGAAAAUUUGAAUAGAGGAGUAGAAAGAUAUUUGUUUAAAGUUAAUUUAUGAUAUUGUUAUUUUCUGACCAAUGUUGAUGAUAACAAUAUUAUGAUUUUAAGUUCAAUGUUAAAUCUCUAACCUUUUUGCAUCAAAGUGAUCAAUUUUUCAGAGAAGAGAGAAAGACAAAGAAAAUCUUAUGAAAGAAAGAAAAGUUCUCCGCUGCCAUAAAGAAAGAUAGACUCAGAUGAGUUUUUCCCUGUGGGAAAAAAGAGCCUUUAAGUUUAAGGUUAAGAAAAGCUUCCGAGGUUGUAUGUCAAAGAAAGGAUAUUUUGGCUCCAUUUUGCCAUUGUAAGUGUCAAGUUGAGCAUUAGUUUGCUCUUAAAAGAAAAGAAAUUUAAAGUUCAUUAUGACGUUGUCAUUUUCUGACCAAAGUUGAUGAUGGCAAUAUUAUAAUUUUUAUUUUAGUCAUGUGUUCUAUUUCUAUCCAACGGUGAUAUAGAAUUGAAAGUAAAGAAAAGUUGUAUGUUUUAAUUUUGAUCAACAUUAAAUUAAGACAUACAAUUCUUCCCAAGUAGAGAGAAAUUAACAGACAAAAGUUGAUUCCGAUCAACGCUACAGAUAAAGUUUUGAGGUUACUCGGCUGUAUAGUUGUGGUUAAGAAAGAAAAUUGCUUGUUCCAUUCUGACUUUUAGUUGAUAUGGAAAAGAGAUGCAAUUGUUUUCAAAAAGUUUUUGGUUUCUCUCACUAAAGUUUUACAAAUAUUGUAAUUCGUUAAAUUUUCUGAUUAAAUUAGAACCAACGGGAAGAUUUAAUCAGAAAAGAAAGUAUAUGUGCAUGUUUUAGUCAUUGUGACCAAAGUUUUAUUACUAUAUUAUGUUUUUUCCUUGUCCUUCAAUAGUAAAGAUAAUGGUUGAAAUGAGUUUGACACACAUUCAAUUUGACCAACGUUGAAUUAAACAUGCGUUGCAAAUGCCUUUGAAGUUUUAUACCGCAUGUCGGAAAAGUUUUUGGCACUUGUGUCACUUAUAUCCUGCAUGACAGGAAAAGUUGUGAUGGCUCAUAUGCUACUUGAGUAUCACAUAAAAGUAAAGAAGUCUGGGGGAGCUUUUAAAGUUAUCCCAACAAUUCUCAUGCACUACUAUAGUGGUAUGUUGAAUAGUGACCUGAAAAGAAUCGAAGGACAAAAAGAAAGUUGUAUGCAAACCAAGAUUGCAAGCAUGACUUGCAAAAGUAUAGCAAAAUGAAGAACUUGAUGAGUUCCUGAAAGUGCAACAAAUCAAGAACUCUGAGGUGCUCUUGAAAAGGAAUGAGAAAAUGGUACUCUCAUUAUUUUGUAUGACUUGGUCGUAUGAAUAAAGUUCUAGUAAUGAAAGGCUCCUCGUUCACAAGUGUUAAAAAUAGUUUCGAAAUUAUGGCAGCAAAGUUUGUGCCAUAUUUCGAGGGGGAGAAAGAUUAGAAAGACAAGAAAGAUUAAAAUUUAGAGAGAAUUUCCCUGCAAAGUUAAAUGCGAUGCAUUUUAAAGCAAGAAUGAUCUAUUAAAGAGGAAUAUGACCGAAAAGAGAGUACAACGGUCAUAACAUUGAUACCCCAUUCAAGAAAAUAAGCAAAAUUCCUGGAGUUUUUUUUUCAGCUCCAAAUAUGAAGAAAAGAUAGUUGAGUCUCAAAGCAAUCAAAAGAAAAGAUAGUGCUUAUAGCACCCUAUGAGGCUCGUAAAGAUCAAACCCAAACAAAAGCAUGAAGAUAUUUCAUCUUUAUAAUAGAUGGGAUAAUCUGGGGGAGUAAAGUAUGUCGAGAACUAAGGCCUGAUGAGAAGUUCAAGCACAAAAAUUGUCUCGACAUUUCUAUUGUUAAAAGAUAAAAAAUACACAUAAGUGAAGAAGUACAAAUGAAGAUAAUUCCAUCUCAUUUAGAGAAGCCAUGAGGUGCUCAUUCAUCAAAGUGGCAAGAAGCCAUGAGAGAUGUCAUGAGACUUAGAAGUUCCAAACCUGUUUUGGAACAUAGAAUAAGUUCCUAAAGGAGCCAAAACUGUAGGCUGUAAUGGGUCUACAAGAUUAAAUGUGACUCCAGAGGGAACAUAGAAAGUCGAUAAGCACGACUUGUAACAAAAGGAUUUAUGCAAAGAAAAGGAUAAGAUAUAAUGAGACAUUUUAUGCGGUCUCAUGAAAGGGUUCUUUUAGAAUUAUAAAGACAAUGGUGGCAUACUGUUUUUAGAAUUGCAUCAGAUGGAUGUUGGAGCAAUAUCUCCCAAUGGAGGUUUGUACCAGAAAGUAUAUACAUGACAUAACUAAAUGGUUUCUGUUGUGGAAAGAAAAUAACAUUGGAAUACCACCUAAUGAAAUCAUAUUUCAGAACAGUGGCAUCUAAUGCUUUGUGAGAACAAAAAAAAAGAUUUUGGGUUUUAAGUAAAGGUCAAUGCAAGAUGACAAAUUGAAAAUAUGCAAAGUUCAAAGAUGGAAAAGUUCAAAGAAGGUUAUUAUGACCUCUAGUUUUGAUAAGAAUAAUCUUGGUGAAGAGUCAUUCGCUCUAGGAAAGAAAAUUCACCGGGAUAAAAGAAAAGGGGGUAUCAGGACUAUCGCAGAGAGCAUAUUUAGAAAAGAAUUCUAAAGAUAUAUAGUAUGCAUGCGAGCAAGCCUACGCCUGUCCUAUUAUCAAGGGUAAUAGUAUUGGAAUUUUCAGCAUUCUAGGAACCGUUAUAUGAUCGAUCAAAAGAAAAAGGUUCCAUGUGCUUCAGCUGUUGGAAGCAAAAUUAGUGCUCAAAAGAAUUUACCCUGACAUAGCGCAAGUAUCCGGGACAUUUUGGCAGAAGUCCAGUCUAGCAAUAGAUCACUGGAAUGGAGUUAUAGAAUAUUUUUGUAAUUUUGCAAAGUAUUGUCAGCCUCAUGUUAAGUAAGAAAGGAACAUGUACUCUCAAAAGGUUGUGAGUAAAAAGAAUUAAAUUUUGGCGAGAUGUUUAGUGAAGCCCACAGUAGUAGCUAACACUCGUGCUUAGAGUUUUAUUGUGGAAAAGCUCCAAAGCAAAAUAGUUAUCAUAUCAUGGGUCUUGUACCCAAAGUUUAGCAUGAUAUGAGGCUAAAGGACACGCAAAAUGGUUGAGGAAACCGUUAAGUGUGCUGCCAUUCGAAUGUUUUCACUCCUAUGACAACAUGUCAAGUGUGCUGCCAAACACAUUGACGGUGAGUUAUAUGUUGCGAAGGAGAAAAUCCAGAAUCAUAUGACAUCAUUGAGCACCAAAGUAUCAAGCAAGUGCUUGCGGAUCCGCUUACCAAAGGCUUACCGCCCAAGUCGACAUGGGUUUUUACGGGAGGCCUAUGAUUUCUGGAUUACUAAAGGGCCCAAAGAAAGGUUAAGGUUUUGUUUCAAUACAGAAAUGUGCAUUGUGGCUAUUAAUCUGAUGGUAAGCGAUAACUGUCAUGACGAAGCAUGCCCUACGUACCGAAGAUGAGGACCAAGAGCAAAGCAAGUAGAGAAAAAGUAAAGAGUUAAGUUCAAGUUGAGAAGUUUAAAAGUAAAAGAUGAGAUCAAGGGGGAGAAUGUUGUGUUGAUCUCCACCAGUUGGUCCAACGGCCAACUGGGCCUUUGACUCGCGCUCUGAUCGGGAGCGCCCAGCCCAAUGCAAGGCUGGUGGGCCCCCGUCGCGCAGUGCCUAAACAGGAGGUGGGGUGCUGGUGGCUAGGGUUAUGAGAUUCACUGCCGCCACUUUUCCCACCGUCCUAACCCUAAUCCGAUCUAAAGAGUGGGCUGUCAGCGACGGGAAGCUCCACUACGCCGUCGCCAUCAGGCCAUCGCCGCCCCUGCACUGCGACAACACCGCCACCACGACGUCUCUGCGCUGCGCGUCGCUGCCCCAACGCAGAACUUCACCGAUGAACCCACGGUGUCCUACAACUUCUAUAUCCUGGGAUGCAUGUAUCAAGAGGUGUCACGAAGCCUACAUGACGAAAAAAGGGCAAGAGUGCAACAAUGAGAACCCGAACCCUGGAUGGAUGCUUGACAUGGAGUGCGUGGAACCUGAUAGGGUUUGUCUGAUGGAUCUGAAGGUGGAAAGCAGGUAACGUUCCCUUUUUUUUUGGCAUGAUCUGAUCUCUUAUGCCAAUUGCUCUAGGGAUUCAUUCACAUCAAUUAUUUUUUGUGUUACAAUUAAUCUCCAAGUUUGAUCUUGUGGUGCUUCAUUAUUUUUUCUUGCAAAGAAAAAAUACAUUAUUUGGCAUGCUGCAACUCAACAAUGUUCCUUUCUUCCGCAGUUCCGCCAUAACAAAAUCAAAUAGCCAGGAUGGAUGGACACCACAGCAUUUUGCCAUACAGAGUAGAAUAGAGAUAUAGCAAGGGUCUUGCUUGUCAAUGGUGUGGAUAGAGCAAGAAGAUCCAUGCAGUGUAUGCCGAGGCAUCUGGCCAUACCCAGCUCAAGACUUGUCGCCUUUGAAACACUGGAACCAAGGUUUGCCCCUAUUAUUUCGUAUACUUUUGUUGAUGAGCAGUAUAUACCAAAAAUUAUGUUGCCUAUGUGUUGGCUGUUUAGAUAAAUUUCUGUUGUUUCAUAAAACAAGUUAAGUGCCUUCAGAAACAAUGAUGUCAAUAGAGAAGCUCUAUUCUCUUCUUUUAGGGCUUGUUCUUCUAGCUACUUGGGUACUAUUGAGUCACAGCUAGAAAGCUUAAUCCUUGUUCUUCUGUGUCCAAUGUGGCUGAACUUUGAAAGUGAUUACAAGUCUGGUUUGGUUCUUCUGAAUGUCAUUGUCGCACAGGAUAUAUGCACCUGUCUAUAACCAAUGUGUUUCUACAAAUCAACAGCUCGGGAAACAUUUUAAGGUGUUAUUAUGCUUUCGCUUAGAAACUUUUGAUGUGUGAUGACAUUGUAUAACCGAGAACUUUUACAGGAUCACUUAAAGCAUUUUGAUACACAUAUUGAUGAGGUAAAUAUUUGUUUGCCUAUAAUGUUGACGCUUUCUUUGGGGUUUUCCACAAUGGAACAGAAUGGAAUCUUUUAAUUUAUAUAUGGCCUAAUUCGAUGCAUGUUCCCUAUUUUUGCCUGCCAGCAAACGACCUGGUUGAUGUUAUUACACCAUCAUGCUACACGUAUUCUCUCUACAAAUGGGUUGCUAUUUUUUCGCCACAACUUUAAUUGCCCGUUCACAAUUGAGCUAAUGCUUUGCUUAUACCAUCUGCAGCUGCUUUGACUACACAAAUGGCUUGGCGGUAAGGUUUCCACCAUUUUGAAUGUGAAUAGGUCUCUUGUAUCAUUGUCUUGCUAUAUAUCUUAACAGUCUGCUCCCUACUUAUCCUGGAGUGGAGAAGCAGCUCACAGCUAGAGCUUGAAGAUGGUGUUUUGUGGAAAAUCUGUGCAGGAUUUAGUGGUGGGGUAUAUGGGCGUGCCAAAAUAGAAAUGAAAGGUCCAUCCUAGGAAAGCAAUUUUGCAUUAGCUUUCUGAUUCGUAGACCUCCUUGGUUUUCUUUCAGUUGUAGUGUUGACACAGCAAAUCACCUAAUUGAGCACACUGACCAUGAGGUGCUCACGGCUGGGCUGGAGCAGAAAAUAUCGUCUUGGAACAAAUGGCUUGUCUAGCAUUGUACCCAGCACCAAGAGCCUCAACAUGGAGAUUUUGUCCCUCGACCCUCAACAUGCUCUGAUUAUAAGUCUAGAAAAUUUGUAGAUUCUAUUUUGCUUGCAGAUGCAGUGUUUAUAGCACACGGGUGUCGUCGCUUGUUAAUGCACAAGUUCUAUACAUACAAGGAAUAUUCAUGAUGAUCUGGUUGUUUCCAGAUCGUAGCAUUAAGUAGUCUAAGUUGUUACUUGACAUAAAAGUUGAUGAACAUGGUGACAAGAGAAUAUGUUGAAUUUUUUUAUUGCCUAAUAA